GUAGGCCUACUUCUGUAGCACACGCAUUCUCACCAGCAAAGACCUGUCACCUGUCAUUCAUCAUCGUAUGGGAGGUUUUU